rnacentral:tRNA from 1 species
CUGAUAAGAAGAGGAAUCAAACCUCUGUUAAUAGGACUACAGCCUACCGCCUAAACAUUCGACCAUCUUAC